rnacentral:tmRNA from 1 species
GGGGGCGUACUGGUUUCGACGGGGGAAGCAUUGGCAGGAGUGGCCAGGCGAGAUCCCACCUCCUCGUUAAACGGUGGAACCUCUAUAAGUGCCGACAAAGAAUUAGCUCUGGCUGCCUAAUAGACCGCAGCCCCAUCCACCCGGGCCCGGCCCGCGGGGCCCGGAGUGGAUGUCAACCCUAGCGGGCUGUCCUCUGGACCUCGGCCUGUGGGCCCAGAGGGAGAGAUAAGCAGGCUGGCCGCAGGUGCACCCAGUUUCCGGGGGGCCCUGGGGCGAGAUUAAAACGGAAACUAUCCUGGUAGAAGCUUCUGUGGGUGCUCCCUCGGACGGGGGUUCGAUUCCCCCCGCCUCCACCA